AUUUCCUUCUCCGGGGGAUCUUCCUGACCCAGGGAUUGAACCUGGGUUUCCUGCAAUGACAGAUUCCCUAUCUCCGGCCAGUUACCAAGACAUGCCAGCCACACCUGCUCCCACUCAUCCCUUCCCUUGCCCACCAGUGUCUCAGAUAGUCAACAGCAAUGAAACCCACCCAGAAGUCCUGCUCCAGCUGGUUUUCAUGACUAUGUGAUUGACCCUGAAUUGAAACACGAUAAUGGAAUGCCUCUAAAUACACACUCUUCAUGGAAAA